GCUCAGUUCAUAAACGACAAAAAAAAAUGUUACUGUGAGGACGAAGGAUUAAACACAAUGAAUAGUGGCUUCCAUAAAAAAGGAAGCGAGUAAAAAGCCGUAGGAAAACAAAUGGAUGUAAAUUGUGAUCCAAACAUGGCACCAACACAGCAAUGCAUUAUGAAUAUAUAUAUGAUGCCAUGCAGCCACGGAACGGAAAAAUCUGAAAAUUGUUUCAGUCAAUAUGCAUGAGGCCGCACACAUCAGCGGUAAUUAUGUAAGAAAGGAAGCUACUCGAAUAAUGGAAGACGAAUAAAGUAAGAAAAGCUUGGCAUGCAGUACUAGUAAAUUU
rnacentral:lncRNA from 7 species